rnacentral:rRNA from 1 species
UGGGGAAUAUUGCACAAUGGAGGGAACUCUGAUGCAGCGACGCCGCGUGAACGAAGAAGGCUUUCGAGUCGUAAAGUUCUUUUAUAUGGGAAGAUAAUGACGGUACCAUAAGAAAAAGCCCCGGCUAACUACGUGCCAGCAGCCGCGGUAAUACGUAGGGGGCUAGCGUUGUCCGGAAUCACUGGGCGUAAGGGGUUCGCAGGCGGAAAUGCAAGUCAGGUGUAAAAGGCAGUAGCUUAACUACUGUAAGCAUUUGAAACUGCAUAUCUUGAGAAGAGUAGAGGUAAGUGGAAUUUUUAGUGUAGCGAUGAAAUGCGUAGAUAUUAAAAAGAAUACCGGUGGCGAAGGCGACUUACUGGGCUCAUUCUGACGCUGAGGAACGAAAGCGUGGGUAGCAAACAGG